rnacentral:lncRNA from 1 species
CUAAUUACAUUCGCCAGAUCCCAAGAUUCUACUUCUUGAGCUGGUUAGGGAUCCGUGCACCCUGCUGGGCUUUCUUAACAUCCUACUAGUAUGCACUAGGUUCCAAGAAUUAGCUACACUCUAUUACUUAGUGCUGAUUUUUUUUUUCACGCUCAGAAAACCGCAAAGGGAUUUAACCAAAAGGAAGCAAAGGUUUUCUUUUCAUAAAUUCGAUUAGUCUUUUCUACUUUCUCUGCCUCGGGACAUUUCCUUUGGGAAGAAUUUUUAUACCCAAAGACCCCUUAGCGAGGCACUGUUGCAUGCGGGCGCAGUGAAUUUAACUGCAAGACGCUCGAUGUGGACGGAAAGUAAAAAUCGCAGGCACUUGCAAGCCGCUAGCCAAGUCCGUUUCGGAAUGCCAUGUCGUUAUAGGAAUGGGCCCAUAAAGGAAGAAAGACGAAGUUUGCCGCAGGCAGGCAAGGUUGAAUCCUUGACUGGAGUGCGAGAGUGGGUGCUUUCCCAGCCAGCCCUCCGCUAACGACCGCUGAAUGUCCCGCCCGAGCCGGCGCCGAGAGCCUGGUGCCCACACAGCGCCCGGCGCCCGUCUGGAGAUAGCCCUCAGCGGUGGGCAGCAGGAGGCUCCCCAAAACUGCGCCUUUUAGCAGCCAGUACUUAGCGGAUGGAGAGACAGCGCCAAGAGCCCACAAAGUAGACUCGGCCAGGGGCGGGGACCCCCACCGGAGCCUGCUCCCUCAGGCCUCAGGCUAGGGAACCCAAUCCGGGCAGACCGAACUGGAAAGAGGGGCUGGGGCCCAGGCAAGGCCUCAUUCCAGACCCGGGGUCAGAUUGGGCCUGAAUCAGUGAAUGCUGCGGGUGGAGGCGCCAGGCCCUAGAAUGGGCCUCCAAACCUCCGCUUUCCAGGAAUGGCGAUUGGACCGAGAAGCCAGCCGCAAAACCCAUGGCUGGGAACGCGAUUGUGGCCCCGAGGCCUUGGGUCCCAGCGCUCCAGUCCCGCCAACCCAGCGAGGACUCUAGACCUUGGAGAACCCGAGGGUUCAUUGAACUCCCAACUGAACUGCCCAGCGCCUCCCCCGGUGUGAUUCCUCUAGGUUCGCAAGGUCGCGACCCUGGAGCAGCUGCUGCCUGGCUUCGGGCCACCCCCAUUCCCCAUCCCAGCACGCCGAGCCUCGCCAGCUCCCUGACACCCGGGCGGCCGCAACAGCGAACCACGGAACGUGGGCCCAAGACAAUGGCCCGUAAUUGAUGUAUUGCCACCAACAAGGAAGACCAACUCUCCUCUCCCCGCCAUUCCAACCGCCCCCUUCCUCCCAUCCCCCUCUCCUCCAUCUCCCCUCUCCCCUCACCCGGCCACAGAGGGAAAGAAAACAAACAAGAAAUUAGUGGGGGAUGCCGCGCGCAGAGCGAGGCGCCUGCCUCUACACCGUCGAGGACGCAGAAGAACGAAAAAAGUUAUCAAAGUUUGGAUUCCCCCCCAAUUAAUUCGUCUCUGCUCGCCCAUUUUUAGGCGAACAGCGCGAUGCAGAUUUUGGGUGUUCUUUUCGUUCGCUUGUUUGUUGUGGUGUUUGGGGGAGGGAAAAGCACCCCCUCCUCUUCAUCUUAAUCACACACAGGGCAAGGAGUGAACACGUGUGAAGCUACUCCCGGG